rnacentral:misc_RNA from 1 species
GAUGAAGAACGCAGCGAAAUGCGAUAAGUAAUGUGAAUUGCAGAAUUCAGUGAAUCAUCGAAUCUUUGAACGCACAUUGCGCCCGCCAGCAUUCUGGCGGGCAUGCCUGUUCGAGCGUCAUUUCAACCCUCGCAGCCCAUCUGGGCAGCGGUGUUGGGGACCGGCACCACCGGCGAAGCCCUUAGGGACCCAGCCGGCGCCGCCCCCGAAAUACAGUGGCGGUCUCGCUGCAGCCUCCCUUGCGUAGUAGCACACCUCGCACCGGAGCGCAGCGCGGCCACGCCGUAAAACCCCCGACUUUCUGAGUUUGACCUCGAAUCAGGUAGGAAUACCCGCUGAACUUAAGCAUAUCAAUAAGCGGAGGA